ACACACAUUUUUUUUUAAUGUGUGUGUAUUUGUGUGUAGUGUAUACACUACACACAAAUACACACAUAUUUAAAAAAAAUGAUA